rnacentral:lncRNA from 1 species
UCGGGUUAUUAUGAAAUCAGUUUACAUGAGGUUGUUAUGUCUUGAUAGUAAUCCGAAUGAAUAUGGUUAUUGUUCAUGAUUUCGGUUAGGGUUCUUGAGAUUGAAUAUAUGAAAUGUGCUUGUUAAUGAUGAUGACGGCUGUAGAUGAUUAGGGGUUUCUGUUUCUGUGAUAUUCGUAACUGAUGGUGAUAUAUGUAACUGUUGAUUGAUCGAAAGAUGCUUGUAGUCGAAACAUAGUUGUGACCGAAAGAUAUCUGUUGACCGAAAGAUAUCUGUUGACCGA